GUGUAAAAAGAGAGUUUGGAGAAUUUAUUCUUUUCUGUUUUAAUGUAGGGAUUAUUUAUACCAUCAAAAAUAGAGAAUCCAUAACAAUCUAAUUACAGAGUUAUUUCUUAAGGAACACAAAAUAAGCGUUCAACCUGUGGCAAGUUUACAUUUUUUUCCUUGAAUUACAUUGCUUUCAAAGAAGAAGGUUGAAAAGGACAAAUCAAACAACAUUAAAACUAAAACUAA
rnacentral:sRNA from 1 species